AUCUAAAAUUUUAUUUUAUUUAAAAGUUUAUUAAAUAUUAAAAAAAAUAAUUAAAAUUUAAUUAAUAUUAAGAAAAAAUUUAUUUAAUUAUAGUUUAUAGUAUUGUUAAAGAAAAUUAUUAAAUAUUUAAAAGAAAAAUUUAAAAUUUGUACCUUGUGUAUCAGGGUUUAUUAAUAUAAAUAAAAAAUUUUAUUAUCUCGAAUUUAAAAGAGUUAAUUAAUUAUUAAUUUUAUUGUAAAAUAAAUAUUUAAAAUAAUUAAUUAGUAAUGAAACGUUAUUCGUUUUUAAAUAUAUCUAGUUUUUAAAGAAAAAAGUUUAAUUUUUUUAUUUAUAUUUAAAUUGUUAAUUUUUUAACAAUUUAUUAUAAAUAGUUUAUUUAUUUAGGGAUAAGCUUAAAUUAAUAAAAUUAUAAUUAAUUAAUUUAUUAAAUAAAUUAUAGGAUUAAAAAUUUUCAUAUAUAAAAAAUUGUUAUAAUUAAUUAUUUAAUAAUAAAAAUUUAUAUUAAAUUUAAUUAUUUUAUUUAAAAAUUAAUAAUAUUAAAAAAUAUUAAGAUAUAAUGAUAAAAUUAGUAUAAUUUACUGUAAAAAUAAAUAUAUUUUUAAGGUUAAUUUAAGGAACUCGGCAAAUUUAUUUUUCACCUGUUUAAUAAAAACAUGUCCUUUUGAUUAUAAUUUAAGGUCUAAUCUGCCCACUGAAAAUUUAAAUGGCCGCGGUAUUUUGACCGUGCAAAGGUAGCAUAAUAAUUAGUUUUUUAAUUGAAAGCUGGAAUGAAUGAUUGAAUGAGAAAAUAACUGUCUCAAGUUAAAUUUUAUUAUAAUUUUAUAUUUAAGUAAAAAAGCUUAAAUAUUAUUAAAAGACGAGAAGACCCUAUAGAGUUUAAUAUUUUUAUUUUAUUAGUUGUUAUAUUUUUAAUAAGAUAAUUUUUUAAAAAUAUUUUGUUGGGGUGACAGAAAAAUUAAAAUAACUUUUUCUUAAAUUUUUAUAUAAAUAAAUAUAUUAUUGAUCCAAUUUUUUUUGAUUAUAAGAUUAAAUUACCUUAGGGAUAACAGCGUAAUUUUUUUUAAGAGUUCAAAUCGAAAAAAAAGAUUGCGACCUCGAUGUUGGAUUAAAGUUAAAUUUUGGUGUAGAAGCUAAAAGAUUAGGUCUGUUCGACCUUUAAAACUUUACAUGAUCUGAGUUUAAACCGGUGUGAGCCAGGUUGGUUUCUAUCUUUAAUUAAUUAAAAUGUUUUAGUACGAAAGGACCAAAUAUUUACUAUAAUAGUUAAAUAAUGAAUAUUAUU
rnacentral:rRNA from 1 species